rnacentral:rRNA from 1 species
UACAGAGGUCUCAAGCGUUGUUCGGAUUCAUUGGGCGUAAAGGGUGCGUAGGUGGCGCCGUAAGUCGGGUGUGAAAUUUCAGAGCUUAACUCCGAAACUGCAUUCGAUACUGCGGUGCUUGAGGACUGGAGAGGAGACUGGAAUUCAUGGUGUAGCAGUGAAAUGCGUAGAGAUCAUGAGGAAGACCAGUGGCGAAGGCGG